UACAGAGGUCUCAAGCGUUGUUCGGAUUCAUUGGGCGUAAAGGGUGCGUAGGUGGCGUCGUAAGUCGGGUGUGAAAUUUCGGAGCUUAACUCCGAAACUGCAUUCGAUACUGCCGUGCUUGAGGACUGGAGAGGAGACUGGAAUUUACGGUGUAGCGGUGAAAUGCGUAGAUAUAGUAAGGAAGACCAGUGGCGAAGGCGGGUCUCUGGACAGUUCCUGACGCUGAGGCGCGAAGGCCAGGGGAGCAAACGGG
rnacentral:rRNA from 1 species